GGGUCAGUAGGUUGGUCGUGCCACCGGUACGUACUGGUCUCACUGAUUCCUCCUUCCUGAAGAACCGUAAUGCCAUUAAUUUGGUGUUGCGGGGAAACAGGAGUGUUACUUUGAAAAAAUUAGAGUGUUUAAAGCAAGCUAACGCUUGAAUACAUUAGCAUGGAAUAAUGAAAUAGGACGAUCGAUCCUAUUUUGUUGGUUUCUAGGAUUGACGUA
rnacentral:rRNA from 1 species